UGCGUAGGUGGUUUCUUAAGUCAGAGGUGAAAGCCCACGGCUCAACCGUGGAGGGUCAUUGGAAACUGGGAGACUUGAGUGCAGAAGAGGAUAGUGGAAUUCCAAGUGUAGCGGUGAAAUGCGUAGAGAUUUGGAGGAACACCAGUGGCGAAGGCGACUGUCUGGUCUGUAACUGACACUGAGGCGCGAAAGCGUGGGGAGCAAACA
rnacentral:rRNA from 1 species